rnacentral:rRNA from 1 species
AGCAGUAGCCACGGGAAUACAGAGGGUGCGAGCGUUAAUCGGAUUUACUGGGCGUAAAGCGUGCGUAGGCGGCUUCUUAAGUCGGAUGUGAAAUCCCUGAGCUUAACUUAGGAAUUGCAUUCGAUACUGGGAAGCUAGAGUAUGGGAGAGGAUGGUAGAAUUCCAGGUGUAGCGGUGAAAUGCGUAGAGAUCUGGAGGAAUACCGAUGGCGAAGGCAGCCAUCUGGCCUAAUACUGACGCUGAGGUACGAAAGCAUGGGGAGCAAACAGGAUUAGAUACCCGUGUAGUCCCUGUCUCUUAUAC